rnacentral:rRNA from 1 species
CACUGCCGAGAAAAGCCUCUAGAUAGAAAAUAGGUGCCCGUACCGCAAACCGACACAGGUAGUCAAGAUGAGAAUUCUAAGGUGAGCGAGCGAACUCUCGUUAAGGAACUCGGCAAAAUGACCCCGUAACUUCGGGAGAAGGGGUGCUCUUUAGGGUUAACGCCCAGAAGAGCCGCAGUGAAUAGGCCCAAGCGACUGUUUAUCAAAAACACAGGUCUCUGCUAAACCGUAAGGUGAUGUAUAGGGGCUGACGCCUGCCCGGUGCUGGAAGGUUAAGAGGAGUGGUUAGCUUCUGCGAAGCUACGAAUCGAAGCCCCAGUAAACGGCGGCCGUAACUAUAACGGUCCUAAGGUAGCGAAAUUCCUUGUCGGGUAAGUUCCGACCCGCACGAAAGGCGUAACGAUUUGGGCACUGUCUCAACGAGAGACUCGGUGAAAUCAUAGUACCUGUGAAGAUGCAGGUUACCCGCGACAGGACGGAAAGACCCCGUGGAGCUUUACUGUAGCCUGAUAUUGAAAUUCGGCACAGCUUGUACAGGAUAGGUAGGAGCCUUUGAAACGUGAGCGCUAGCUUACGUGGAGGCGCUGGUGGGAUACUACCCUAGCUGUGUUGGCUUUCUAACCCGCACCACUUAUCGUGGUGGGAGACAGUGUCAGGCGG